rnacentral:rRNA from 1 species
GCCUCAGUAACGGCGAGUGAAGCGGCAAGAGCUCAAAUUUGAAAGCUGGCUCCUUCGGGGUCCGCAUUGUAAUUUGCAGAGGAUGCUUCGGGAGCGGUCCCCAUCUAAGUGCCCUGGAACGGGACGUCAUAGAGGGUGAGAAUCCCGUAUGGGAUGGGGUGUCCGCGCCCGUGUGAAGCUCCUUCGACGAGUCGAGUUGUUUGGGAAUGCAGCUCUAAAUGGGUGGUAAAUUUCAUCUAAAGCUAAAUAUUGGCCGGAGACCGAUAGCGCACAAGUAGAGUGAUCGAAAGAUGAAAAGCACUUUGAAAAGAGAGUUAAAAAGCACGUGAAAUUGUUGAAAGGGAAGCGCUUGCGAUCAGACUCGCUCGCGGGGUUCAGCCGGCAUUCGUGCCGGUGUACUUCCCCGCGGGCGGGCCAGCGUCGGUUUGGGUGGUCGGUCAAAGGCCCUCGGAAGGUAACGCCCCCUCGGGGGCGUCUUAUAGCCGAGGGUGCAAUGCGACCUACCCGGACCGAGGAACGCGCUUCGGCUCGGACGCUGGCAUAAUGGUCGUAAGCGACCCGUCUUGAAACACGGACCAAGGAGUCUAACAUCUACGCGAGUGUUCGGGUGUCAUACCCGUGCGCGCAGUGAAAGCGAACGGAGGUGGGAACCCUUUUGGGUGCACCAUC